UCAAAAUAAGCUUAUCAUUUCGACUUAUGGUACUAUCAAAGAACUUAACUUGCAAAAUGGAGAAGAAUUGGAACUUCAGACUGACCUUCAUAGCUUUAUCUAUUCUGUAGACUAUGAUUAUAGAAAUGGAUAUAUAUAUUUUUCAAGAUAUACAAAAAAUGAUAUACAAAGAUUUCGAUAUCCACCAGGACAAAUGGCGGAUUUAGUACCUGUUACUUUUGCAAGCAGACCAGUAGGAUUGGUGAUUGACAUUUUAUAUAACCAUGUGUAUUGGACAGAACGAUCCACCGGGAAACUUUGUAGAUGUAAUUUAGAUGGGUCACUAAAAUCAGUUAUAUUGCAGGAUGAUCCACUCUUUGCUCUCACAUUUGAUUAUCGGAACAGAUGGCUGUAUUACAGUACGGAUGGUACAGAAAAAUCAAUUAGGCGAUUGAAACUUAACAGUUCUGAAAAUCAAACAAUCAUAAAUGUUCAAUCAGAACUAGUUACUGGUAUGAGCAUUGAUAAUGAUAAAGAUCGCCUUUAUUGGAUGGAAUUCAAUAAUGGAUUCUUGAAAUCAUCAACAUUAAAUGGAAGUAGUGUCAUAACGGUUUUAAACACAAAUACAAACAAUAAAAACCAAGAUAUCCAUGUGUACCGAGGCAACGUGUACUGUGCAAAUGGUAAUUCUUUACUUAAUGUGACACCAGGAGUAUCAGCGCAUGUCAUUUGCAAUAAUACAGGAAUAAUAUAUAGUGUAUUUAUUCAUGAUGAAUACCAUGAAAUACGUACGUAUACUUAAUAUAUUCGAUAUUCUAAUUGUUUUUAAAAGGAUUUAUGAAAAGUAUUUUUAAGUGAUAAAUCUAAAUUUUGUUAAAAAUAGAAAUUUAAAACAGGUUUAUACUUCUUAAUUUUAAAUUGAUUAACAAUUGAAUAAAUUAAGAUGAUUCACUGCAUUUAGUAAUAUCAUUAAUUUUAGACAAACGACGAUGGAGUAUCUCAUUGAAGUAGAUUACGUUUUAUAUUUCUUAUUGUAAUGAUUCAUCAAUGUGUUUUAGCAUUAAUCUUACAGUUAGCAGUGAUUAUGUUCAUUUGGUUUGAUAUUCGACAGGAAAUGUAUUAUUUAACACAAUUAUGUUUUCACAUUCUUUAUUUACUUUUUCUCAAUUAUGUAAAUAUGUGUACUUGCUAGCUUAACUGAUCGCUGUUUUCAUCCAUGCAAAUUGUUUUUUACUAAAUACUUACAAAGUAACAUAACAAAAAUACCGAUCUCCAGGGAAAAUUCAAAACGGAAAGUCCCUUAUCAAAUUGUGAAAUCUAAAGCUUAAACACAUCAAACGAAUAGAAAACAAUUGUUUUAUUUCUGGUUUCAUACAGGCAUUUCCUUAUGCAGAAAAUGGUGGAUAAAACUUGGUUGUAUAGCUAAUUAACCCUCUAAAUUGUAUGACAAUCGUAUAGAAUUUUGUUAUAUUGACAACAAUGUGUUGACAACAUGUAUGAAGAAUCUUGGUAUGAACAUAAUUGUUGAAACUCGUAACAAUUGUUUAUUAAAAUGGGCUAGUUACCAGUAUCUCUAGAAAUUGCAUGUUACACUAUCAAAAGCGUUACGUUAUUACGUAACACAAUCUUCGUUUUUUAUACUACAUUUUGAACUUAGCCAGUGUGAUGUUCUAUAAACAGGUACUGCAUCUAACGAGCAACACUCGAAUAUUUAUCACUGUCUGCGCAUGAGCAAAUGUUCAGUAGAAUAAUUAAUACCGUGUAUAAAUAUGUUAUAAUACGACAGUCGUACAGGAUAAAUCGUAUUAUAAAAACAGCUGAUGUACUCCUUGAAUUAAGUGUGAUACGUUAUCAUUACUAAAACAUGAGCUGCGUCGGAUAGAAAUCGACCUUAUACAAAUGAAUAUCAAUACAUCUGUUAACCUAUUUCGGGUUGAAAAAUCUCCUUGCAAAGUCUGUAACUAUUUGAAAAUUGAGUUGUUAUAAGACCCCUACAAAACAGAUCAAAAUUCUUCAUUAAUUUCGUAUUUGAAUGUUCAAAAAUAAAAACAAAAGGUCACAUGUUAUUGCUGUAUUGUAUUCCUUUGCAUUAAUACUAUCGCUUUGCAAUUAUACGAAUUAUGCAUGCUUAACAAUACACUAAUUAAUAGUACUAUGUUUGUUGUGUGACAUUUCUUUGUAUAAACAAAUUUAAAAAAAAUUAUCAUUCAUGCAAAGUAGUCUUAUGAUUAAUACAGUUUUAAUGUUUCAUGAAAGAACAUGUUGACAAUCAAUAAACUCAUCUUAGAUACCAGG